AUGAUCUCAGACUACACACAUGGUCUCCCGGAGCGAGUGGCUCUGUACUUUGUCUCUGGUAUCUGUGCUGGUCUGGUUUUCCUGCUCUGCCUGUUUGGUCUCCGCUCCACAAUAGUGAGGGAUGUUAAAGGUCUGGUUUCUGACCUGAACGAUGAGCUGAAAGCAUCUCGCAGACAGCGCAAGGAGCUCAUGGAGGACCUCUUUGACGAUGAGGUCUCGGACACGUCGUCCUUCUGUCGCCUCACACAAUCCUACCGCACAACAGACAUCUUAAGUCCCUCAACUCUGACAGUAGAGAUGGUCGAUCGUGAAGUGGAACAGACGAGGGAUCUGCCCAACGGAGACAUUUGGCCUCAUCGAGACUCCAGCCCUUAUGCCAUCCAUAAGAUUAAAACCUACAACAACUGAGUGAAGUCGCAUGUAUGAGUGAACCUACUAUUAAAGCAUCUUCUGCUAUGGAUUUUAAACUGUGGACUGAAAUUACACAAAUUAAUCUACUUUUAAAGCAAUUUAACUACCUCUUUAUCCAUGUGUUGUCAUUCAUGGCCAAGUAACUCUGAAAUACAUGAAAUCUUAAUGAACUAGGUUAGUUACAGUAAUUAUUAACAUCAGACGUUUUGUUAAAUGCAACAGUAUUUUAAAAAAUAACAGAGGAGCUUAUUUUCUGCAUACAUUGUUUCGGUUAAAGGAUGCCAUGUAAAAAUGUUGAACCCGUAUAAUAAAAAUAAAACAAGGAUUGUGUUAAUUGUGGUCUGGUGACAGUGUUUCUUCUGUUUAAUGUUUCACAACUAGCACUUGAAAAGUAAAAAAACGAAUGUACAAUGAACCUGACACAAGCUUUAAGAGUAGGCUACGUGUGUUUUAAAGAUUAUUAACACGUAGGGGUGUUACAUUGAGACAACACACAUUCAUGGUAGUUUUAAACAGUAGUGGAAGAAGCACUCAGAUCCUUUUCUUACUACCACUGUAAAUAUACUCUGUUACAAGUAAAAAGUACUCACUAUAGGCCAAAUAAGAUAAGAUAAGAUAAGAUUAGAUAAAAUAACUCUGAAGUGAUCCCCAGAGGACAAAAAACAGGGACAGAAAAUAAUUACACCAGACCAAUACAAGAUGAUCAAGUAAUGAUAUUUAAUGUUUAUAUAUAUAUAAUACUACUUCAUAUAACCUACUAUAAAACAUUAUAUA
rnacentral:lncRNA from 15 species